GGGACUAGAGUGCAAACUCCCUUAACCAUCGUGAACCAUACCUCUGAACAGUUGCUUCGGCGGGCCGGCCCUCCCCCGGGAGGCGCCGCCCAAGGCCCGCCGGAGGUACCCAAACCAUUGUUUUUACAGGCCUCUCUGAGUGACACACUUAAUAAGUCAAAACUUUCAACAACGGAUCUCUUGGUUCUGGCAUCGAUGAAGAACGCAGCGAAAUGCGAUAAGUAAUGUGAAUUGCAGAAUUCAGUGAAUCAUCGAAUCUUUGAACGCACAUUGCGCCCGCCAGUAUUCUGGCGGGCAUGCCUGUCCGAGCGUCAUUUCAACCAUCAAGCCCCGGGCUUGUGUUGGGGACCUGCGUCCGACGCAGGCCCCGAAAACCAGUGGCGGGCUCGCUGUCCACACCGAGCGUAGUAGCUAACCUCGCUCCGGAGUGGCGCGGGCGCCUGCCGUAAAACCCCCCAAUUUUACAAGGUUGACCUCGGAUCAGGUAGGAAUACCCGCUGAACUUAAGCAUAUCAAUAGGGCGAGAGGAAAA
rnacentral:rRNA from 1 species